CAAGCAAGCUGGGGGUGCUCGCACGAGCUGAGAGGGACGUCUCCCAACCCCUUGAACCUGAUCUGGUUUGUACCAGCGUAGGGAAGCUUUCUCGCGCCCGU
rnacentral:ncRNA from 2 species